rnacentral:rRNA from 1 species
GAUGAACGCUGGCGGCGUGCUUAAUACAUGCAAGUCGAGCGAGGACCACCCGGUGGCAACACCGGGUGACUCCUAGCGGCGAACGGGUGAGUAACACGUGGGCAACCUGCCCCCGACUCUGGGAUAAGCCCGGGGAACUGGGUCUAAUACCGGAUACGAGCCUCCUCCGCAUGGUGGAGGUUGGAAAGGGUCUCCGGUCGGGGAUGGGCCCGCGGCCUAUCAGCUUGUUGGUGGGGUGACGGCCCACCAAGGCGACGACGGGUAGCCGGCCUGGGAGGGUGAACGGCCACACUGGGACUGAGACACGGCCCAGACUCCUACGGGAGGCAGCAGUAGGGAAUCUUGCGCAAUGGGCGAAAGCCUAACGCAGCGACGCCGCGUGCGGGACGAAGGCCCUCGGGUUGUAAACCGCUUUCAGCAGGGACGAAGCGAAAGUGACGGUACCUGCAGAAGAAGGUCCGGCCAACUACGUGCCAGCAGCCGCGGUAAUAC